rnacentral:rRNA from 1 species
CAAAAACAUAGCCUAUAGCAAUUCAAGUAUUAUAGGUGUGGCCUGCCCAGUGAAACACUUUAAACGGCCGCGGUAUCCUAACCGUGCAAAGGUAGCGCAAUCACUUGUCCCCUAAAUAGGGACCAGUAUGAAUGGCUAAAUGAGGAUUUACCUGUCUCCUACACCCAAUCAAUGAAACUGAUCUACCGGUACAAAAGCCGGAAUGACUACAUAAGACGAGAAGACCCUGUGGAGCUUUAAACUAAUAACUACAAAUGAUAGUUAUGCAUUUUAAGUUGGGGCAACUUUGGAAAUAAAACGACUUCCAAGACACAGGCCCUAAGCCUGAACCAAGGUCAACACACCAAAGCAAACUUCACGACCCAGUAGCACUGAUUAACGAACCAAGUUACCCCAGGGAUAACAGCGCUAUCUUCUUCUAGAGUCCAUAUCGACAGGAAGGAUUACGACCUCGAUGUUGGAUCAGGACACCCAAGUGGUGCAGCCGCCACUAAUGGUUCGUUUGUUCAACGAUUAACAGUCCUACGUGAUCUGAGUU